rnacentral:rRNA from 1 species
UGUAGCGGUGGAAUGCGUAGAUAUCGGGAGGAACACCAGUGGCGAAGGCGGCCUACUGGGCAUCAACUGACGCUGAGGCUCGAAAGCAUGGGUAGCAAACAGGAUUAGAUACCCUGGUAGUCCAUGCUGUAAACGAUGAUUACUAGGUGUGGGAAGAUUGACCCUUUCCGUGCCGCAGUUAACACAAUAAGUAAUCCACCUGGGGAGUACGACCGCAAGGUUGAAACUCAAAGGAAUUGACGGGGGCCCGCACAAGCAGUGGAGUAUGUGGUUUAAUUCGAAGCAACGCGAAGAACCUUACCAGGUCUUGACAUCCAACGACCGCCUAAGAGAUUAGGCUUUCCUUCGGGACGUUGAGACAGGUGGUGCAUGGUUGUCGUCAGCUCGUGUCGUGAGAUGUUGGGUUAAGUCCCGCAACGAGCGCAACCCUUAUUACUAGUUACUACGCAAGAGGACUCUAGUGAGACUGCCGUUGACAAAACGGAGGAAGGUGGGGAUGACGUCAAAUCAUCAUGCCCUUUAUGACCUGGGCUACACACGUACUACAAUGGCUAUUAACAGAGAGAAGCGAGACCGCAAGGUGGAGCAAACCUCAGAAAAAUAGUCUCAGUCCGGAUUGGGGGCUGCAACCCGCCCCCAUGAAGCCGGAAUUGCUAGUAAUCGCGGAUCAGCAUGCCGCGGUGAAUACGUUCCCGGGCCUUGUACACACCGCCCGUCACACCAUGAGAGCCGGGGGGACCCGAAGUCGGUAGUCUAACCGCAAGGAGGACGCCGCCGAAGGUAAAACUGGUGAUUGGGGUGAAGUCGUAACAAGGUAACCGUAAAGGGCGAAUUCGGAGCCUGC